CUUUAUUGGAGAGUUUGAUCCUGGCUCAGGACGAACGCUGGCGGCGUGCCUAAUACAUGCAAGUCGAGCGAAUCAAUGGGAGCUUGC
rnacentral:rRNA from 1 species